rnacentral:lncRNA from 1 species
GCAUAACUUGUGCUUCGUUAGGUGUCCUAACGUGGGUGUUGCAGGGUUUAAGUAAUGGUUACACCAUCUUAGCAAUACCAUGAGAUUAGAAGGGGCCUAAGGGAUGUCUAUAGAAGAAAAAAAAACCGCGUGUGCACAUUUUAACGUGAAUCUGUCAGAAUCUCCAGGUCUCACGCACUGCAUACCUGCAAAUAGCGACUCGCACACUCACACUGUGACUGGAGGCGCCGCGCCGGUAAUGACUUCAUUUUAAUUAACGCUGCAAGAGGAGAAAAAAAAAAAGAGAGAACCCUCAAUUAUAAAUAAUACCGCCUCCCAGCCAAGUGUUGAUGGCGGAUUAUCGUGUAAUCAGGGAAAUGAAGAAAAUUGUCCUCUCGACGCCAUCCGGAUUGCUCGGGUGUUCGUGCGUGACUGUGGACAAGGGCGCCUCGCGAGGUCAGGAGGUGCUCGAGGGCCGCUCUAAAAUGGAGGAAACACGGUCGUGUUUUUUCUCUCUCUCUCCCCUCUGGAAAACCGCCGAGCUGUGGCGUGCUUUUCAAGACGAACCUCGCGUUCAGAAAAGGAUGUUUUGAAGAUAGCCCCGUGAAUCAGACAUUAUUUCCCCCUCUGCGUGGGAGGGCAUAUGUUUACCUGUCGGUGUGUCCCCCCUUCAGAACUGAUCACAGUGCGCUGUCUCGUUCCUGGAAAGCGCAGAGGGCCCAGGCGGGCACUGUCCUGAUUUUACACGUCCCACCCUCCCUCAUCCCCCGCGGCUCGGCGACCACAAGCAGGAGGAGGAGGAGGAGAAGGGAAACUUCAAGCCCGUGUUUCCUCCCGUGGGUUCCGAGCAGAUGCAGCGGCUGGCCGUGGGUCUGGACUUGCCCGAGCACUGAAAAGAAGGAGGAGAGGAGACAGCUGUCCGGACAGAAGACGUGCGUUAAAGCCUGUUACUUCGAGGGAGAGAGAAAACAGGCACGUUCAUGCUUUCUGUCACCCCCGGCGCCGCCGGAGCGUUGGUGAGAUCAGAGCGCCUGGACGGCCAGGGUCCAGGAAGGUGUGGGCGUGUUGGAACCCAGUGUCAUUCACCCAGAAGGUGGCUGUGGUUGGACCUCCGUGACCGGAACUGACCCCUCGGCACGAUCACCGCCACUGUCCCUGCUGCACCCAAGACCAGUGUUCCCUCUUCGUUCAGAUUGGCUGGUGUGCGCCAAAAUGUCAAGUUCCCCCCCUCCAGUGACAUAAACAUGGGUGUUUUACACACACUGAGCGUGCGUGUGUGUGUAAAGUUCUUAAACCUGACAUAAUUUUUUGUGAAUAUAGUCACUCUUACAGAAGCACAAAGAUCCAAAAGCAGCGACUCGACGAGCCCGGGCGUAGAGACCCGAGUGCGGAGCGAGCAGGAGCGAUGAGCUGUGAGACUAC